UUCAAACGUGAUCCUUGAGGGCGACAGUCGUAUUUCAUAUGAAGUUUGUUAAGUGGAACAAAAUUUCGUUCAGAGAAGCAGAUUAAGAGCAAAUCUCUCAAAACACAAGAAUGUUUGACCUACAUGCGAAAGUGUUUCACACUAUCCGGUCUCACUUCAGGUUGUUUCCUUUCCUGGUAGGAUUGGUGACUGGGGUAGCCCUAUAUUUAUUUAUGGAUUAUACUUACCAAGAUGCAGCCUUACGUCACAAGCUGAAACUUAUGCAAAAUGAAUUGGGAAAUACAGGCAAUCAGAUGGAGAAGGCUGAAUCAGAUAGCAAUUUUGAGGGAAAGUAUCAAAACCAAGUAUCGGGAACAGAAACAAAAUUCGGCUUAACUUCAGUUGUCGUGAAGUAUAUACAACAGUAUAUGUUAAUGCAUUAUAAGACUUUUGUUUAUAUUUAUAACACGUUUUGGCAGAUCUUUUAAAACAAAAUUAAAAUUGUAGAUACGACCAGUGGAAAAUUCUACGCAGUUGUUUUAUCUAAUAUUAAAACGAAGGUGAUUUUUACAUAUUGAUUCAUAGUUUUAAACUGUCAAAUAUUACACAGCUGUAAAUAUUGCAUUUUAUCAUUUAUUGUAUCCUGACUAUUUGUAAGACGAGCUUCGUGCUCAAUAUGUAACCAAGAAUAAAUAAAGCCUAUUAUUAUUGUAAGUAGUAGUAACUGUUGUACACGGUCUCUAGAGGGAGUCUAUGGUACGAAUAGCCCCGGUUCCUUGAUCGCUGAGGGGAUAUGCUUCGAAAUUUUUACUUGUUUUUUUACUUUUUGCGAAAAGUUAUUGUUUAAAUUAUGUAUUGUUAAAAACGGCGGAUUGCCUCGAAAAUUCUUACAAAUUCACUGUCCGUAUUGUAGCUAUAUAUUCUCUGCUCGAGAAGAAUAUUGUUAUUUUACCAUACUUAACGAAACUUCUAUUGUAUUCGACAUGAAAACAAUUAUAUUUCCUAUCUAUUACAUCACUGCAUCAAAAAAAAGUGUGGGAAUGAGUAGUGUCAUUACUUAC